AUAUUGCACAAUGGGGGCAACUCUGAUCCAGCUAUGUCGCUUGCGUGAAGAAGGUCUUCGGAUUGUAACGCACUUUAAGUUGGGAGCAAGUGCCUCAGGUUAACACCCUGAAGUUUUGACGUUACCAACAGAAUAAGCACCGGCUAAGUCUGUGCCAGUAGCCGCGGUAAUACCGAGGGUGCAAGCGUUAAUCGGAAUUACUGGGCGUAAAGCGCGCGUAGAUGGUUCAGUAAGAUGGGUGUGAAAUCCCCGGGCUUAACCUGGGAACUGCUUUCAUAACUGCUGAGCUAGAGUACGGUGGAGGGUAGUGGAAUUUCCUGUGUAGCGGUGAAAUGCGUAGAUAUAGGAAGGAACACCAGUGGCGAAGGCGACUACCUGGACUGAUACUGACACUGAGGUGCGAAAGCGUGGGGAGCGAAC
rnacentral:rRNA from 1 species